GUCCACGCCCUAAACGAUGUCGACUGGUUGUUGGGGAAGGCAACUUCCUUAGUAACGAAGCUAACGCGUGAAGUCGACCGCCUGGGGAGUACGGCCGCAAGGUUAAAACUCAAAGGAAUUGACGGGGACCCGCACAAGCGGUGGAUGAUGUGGAUCAAUUCGAUGCAACGCGAAAAACCUUACCUACCCUUGACAUGUGCGGAAGCCUGGUGAGAGCCGGGUGUGCCCGAAAGGGAGCCGCAACACAGGUGCUGCAUGGCUGUCGU
rnacentral:rRNA from 1 species